GACGAACGCUGGCGGCGUGCUUAACACAUGCAAGUCGAACGGAAAGGCCCCUUUGGGGGUACUCGAGUGGCGAACGGGUGAGUAACACGUAAGUAACCUGCCCUUGACUUCGGGAUAACUUCCGGAAACUGGGGCUAAUACCGGAUAGGAAUCCUUGCUGCAUGGUGGGGGUUGGAAAGCUUCGGCGGUUUUGGAUGGACUCGCGGCUUAUCAGCUUGUUGGUGGGGUAGUGGCUUACCAAGGCUUUGACGGGUAGCCGGCCUGGGAGGGCGACCGGCCACAUUGGGACUGGGAUACGGCCCGGCCUCCUACGGGAGGCAGCAGUGGGGAAUAUUGCACAAUGGGCGGAAGCCUGAUGCAGCAACGCCGCGUGCGGGAUGACGGCCUUCGGGUUGUAAACCGCUUUCAGCAGGGGCGAAGCUUGUGGGAACGGUACCUGCAGAAGAAGCACGGCCAAAUUCCGU
rnacentral:rRNA from 1 species